UGGGGAAUAUUGGACAAUGGGCGAAAGCCUGAUCCAGCCAUGCCGCGUGUGUGAAGAAGGUCUUCGGAUUGUAAAGCACUUUAAGUUGGGAGGAAGGGCAUUAACCUAAUACGUUAGUGUUUUGACGUUACCGACAGAAUAAGCAUCGGCUAACUUCGUGCCAGCAGCCGCGGUAAUACGAAGGGUGCAAGCGUUAAUCGGAAUUACUGGGCGUAAAGCGCGCGUAGGUGGUUCGUUAAGUUGGAUGUGAAAAGCCCCCGGGCUCAACCUGGGAACUGCAUCCAAAACUGGCGAGCUAGAGUACGGUAGAGGUGGUGGAAUUUCCUGUGUAGCGGUGAAAUGCGUAGAUAUAGGAAGGAACACCAGUGGCGAAGGCGACCACCUGGACUGAUACUGACACUGAGGU
rnacentral:rRNA from 1 species